UGCCUCUUGGUGCUUACCACAGGCAGUGUUCUUACACUGACUAUAUAGAAAAAGGAGGUACCACCCCCCCACUGCUAAAUUUGA
ensembl:snoRNA